ACGGCGUCUAAUACUGGAUAUGUGACGUGAUCGCAUGGUCUGCGUCUGGAAAGAAUUUCGGUUGGGGAUGGGCUCGCGGCCUAUCAGCUUGUUGGUGAGGUAAUGGCUCACCAAGGCGUCGACGGGUAGCCGGCCUGAGAGGGUGACCGGCCACACUGGGACUGAGACACGGCCCAGACUCCUACGGGAGGCAGCAGUGGGGAAUAUUGCACAAUGGGCGCAAGCCUGAUGCAGCAACGCCGCGUGAGGGAUGACGGCCUUCGGGUUGUAAACCUCUUUUAGCAGGGAAGAAGCGAAAGUGACGGUACCUGCUUAAUAAGCGCCGGCUAACUACGUGCCAGCAGCCGCGGUAAUACGUAGGGCGCAAGCGUUAUCCGGAAUUAUUGGGCGUAAAGAGCUCGUAGGCGGUUUGUCGCGUCUGCUGUGAAAUCCGGAGGCUCAACCUCCGGCCUGCAGUGGGUACGGGCAGACUAGAGUGCGGUAGGGGAGAUUGGAAUUCCUGGUGUAGCGGUGGAAUGCGCAGAUAUCAGGAGGAACACCGAUGGCGAAGCAGAUCUCUGGGCCGUAACUGACGCUGAGAGCGAAAGGUGGGGAGCAAAC
rnacentral:rRNA from 1 species